rnacentral:rRNA from 1 species
UACGGGGGGUGCGAGCGUUGUCCGGAAUCACUGGGCGUAAAGGGCGCGUAGGUGGCUUGGCAAGCGCGUGGUGAAAGCCCGGGGCUCAACCCCGGGUCUGCCAUGCGAACUGCUAUGGCUUGAGCACUGUGGAGGCAGGUAGAAUUCCGGGUGUAGCGGUGGAAUGCGUAGAGAUCCGGAAGAAUACCGGUGGCGAAGGCGGCCUGCUGGGCAGUGGCUGACACUGAGGCGCGACAGCGUGGGGAGCAAACAGG